CGUUUUUCUCUUAUCGCUUACGUGGCUACGGGCCUAUGCAUUGAGGUUGGGUGUGCAUGAUGGCUACACAGGAUUGACGGCGAGACUUGUGGCGCGUUCACAGGGGCGACGCCCAGCGCCUGCGUUGCGAACCAGGGCGACGCACGUGCCUGUCUGUUCGGCGGGAUCGUGAAACGGAAUUGUUCGCGGUGGAGUAUGUGACGGUGGUGGGACGGCGGAGCGAAGGAGGAUUAAUGGACGGUGGUGGAAAGGCGUCCCGAGGAAUGAUGGAGGAUAGGACGCCUGCGGCGUCGUAUGCAAACAAUGCUAUCGAUAAAGACGGGGUGACAGACCGGGCGAGCGAGAAAGCUCAAAGCUCAACAUGACAAACGGCACGUUUCUUCCGGUGUUCUUUCAUCCCAACGAACAACAUUUCCAUUGAGCGCUUUUCAGUGAAGAAGUCAAUGCCUCGUUACGACAUGGGUUGCCUCAUCGACGUUAUCGUAUUCUGUCUUUCCGUUGCGUUCCGCCGAUAAAACAGAGCGAAUUGUACGCGUCGGUAACUUGAGUCAUCGUAAGGUAAUGCAGUUUUUUAAAGGAACGUCAUUUCUUAUACGGCAGUCAGCGCCAUCUCUUGGGAAUUCUCGCAAGUCAAUGAUUGUGACUGACCGGCCUUGCAAGGCUGUGGGCCAUCGAACUCUUGGCCUACUGACGAGCACGGUAGAAGAAGAGAGCGGUACCGGGAGACGUCGAGUGGGGACCAGAGAGAAGAGGUAGAGGAGACGCAAAAGGAGCAGCAGGCGCAGCGAUAAAGAGGAGGAGGAAGAAGAAGUAGUAGAAGAAAGAGGUAGGCACACCUCCUAUGCCCGGGCAGGAGGAGAAGACGAAGGAGGGGAGGACCUCACCGGCAUACCCAGCCAGGAAGACCGCGAACCUAAUGCCAGAAGAAAGGAAAGGCAAGGUAGACGAGAAGGGGCCCAGGUUGGCGGACGGGACUUCGACGCGAGGAAACUCUAGGUCAGCCGGUCGCCAGGAGUUCGACUACCUCUGCGCAACAACAAUAUCGUCAUAACUACAUCGCAACACGGGUGCAUCGUAGAGCUGCAUAUUACCUAGGGGUCAAUGUGAUGAUUAAAACCUAAAUAUAGGCCACUCUUAAUUUUAAUCCGAUAAAUCGAAAAACGAAGUCUAUACCAUUAUGAGUAUCCAUAGUUAAUUUCUUUGAUUGCUACUAAACUCCCCUUAGAUUCUUAUACUUGGGCUCAGUCAUGGGAUACAAAGAGACUUGUAGAUGGCGCACUGUGCUGGACUUUCUCGCGCGUCCCGAACGCUCCUUUCGUUAACGGUAAUUCCGCGCAGUCUAUUCACAAAGAGACUUCCCAACGUGAUUCUAUGGAUCCAGCAAGUCAGUCGGUGAAUGAGGUGGGGCAGAGAGUGCCUUUGCUUCGUGAUAAUACGUAGCGGUAAAUUGCUGGCUAUGUAUAUCCACCUAGUAUCGGGCUUUCAAGAGAGACGCACGUCCGGGUUCAGGGCCAGUUAAGUAAACAGCGGGUGUUUAUGCAUAAUGCCCCAUUGUGCAUUCCUUAGGCGUGCAGUUUCUCCUUGCCCGCGCGUAACACUUUCGUGAUCUUCGACUUGGUAUCAGCUUUUUUUUUCAAUCAAUUUUGCUCCUUAUUAAUAUAUAUAUUUCUUUAAUUUUUUUUCAAGGUCAUUCAAUACUCAACGCCUUAAUAUAUACUAGCUAGUUAGUGGCUCGUGCAGAGCAAAAGAAUUGUACGACGAUCCCGAGAAAAAAUGUGAUACCAUGGUCGAAGAUAUUUAUAAAAGGAAAGAGUGAACCGUAAGACAUAAAAAUGGAGAAAGAUCAAUGGCACCGCGUAACCUUUCUUUACUCAAGAGUGUUCGAGGCUCGAUUGAUCAGUUUGAAUCGGCGAUUAAAACCUACUGUAAAUCCCAAUUAAAUGGACCAAGCGUUCCAUCCCUUCGUUUCGGCUCUAAGCACGCCAGUUUGUCUUCGCCGAGACAGGAUUUAUUGACUCGUAUCUUUUGGCACUUAGGUAUUAAAAGAAAUUGCGAGAUUAGAGUCAAUUUAUACGUUGGGACUGUACGUUGCUUUGUUUCAGCCAAGGUACUCCGAGACUUGAGAAAAGUACCUUGACCAUGCCGUGGGAGAAGGUACUUUAAAUUACGUCACUUAGUACAGCUAGGUAUGGGGUCCCGGUGAUAGUUCAGCGAUCUCCGGUGCGUCCAAGCGUGACACUUCCUACGCCAUCUCUGUAUGAAUCAUAAGCGAGUCUCAGAAACGACGCUGGGCGUCGGUGGUCGUCGAGCCUUCCAGGCGUUGACUUUUACCUACACCAAGUACCAAGUGCGUCUCGCUUCGGCGAAGAUGUGCUGAUCAUGUUGAUGAUGAGAAGAAAAUGUCCCCUUGCUGAUUCGAAUGGGUCAGAGAAAGAUGAAGGAGGGAUUGCAUAAUACUUUUAUUAUCGAUCAUCAGACUGAUCGAUAAUAGUUGAUCAUUCGAAUUCAGCCAGCUAUUGCUUACGGUAGGUGUCAAGAUCAGGAUUUUGACAUAGUGAAAUUGUGGUACAAGAUUUUUUUUUGUAGCAAAAACUUUUUUUUGAAUUAAUCAACGAAUUUGAUUAUAGUGAUCGCGUGGGUGGGAAUACUGGGUUUCGUCUUUUGCUACUGAUGUAGAAUAAAUGCAAAUUAUAGUGGGGCGGGAGGGGGGGUUAAUGCUUCCGACCAAGGACCUCUGGGGUCAAUAACCCCACAGGAGAAUACGUCAUUGUGUACACGAUCUGCUGUCCUUUACGUUUCUUGGCCUAAUCUUUGCUUUCGCUUUCGCCUUCUAGAAACUUCCUCAUUUCUUAAUAGUAGAUUGGGGUAUCGCGUGAAAUUUGCCAGCUAAGAUAAUACUUGAUAUAUAUGUAUAUAUGUAAACUAAAUAUAGUCGUAUACUCACCUACAA